GACGAACGCUGGCGGCGUGCUUAACACAUGCAAGUCGAACGGAAAGGCCCUGCUUUUGUGGGGUGCUCGAGUGGCGAACGGGUGAGUAACACGUGAGUAACCUGCCCUUGACUUUGGGAUAACUUCAGGAAACUGGGGCUAAUACCGGAUAGGAGCUCCUGCUGCAUGGUGGGGGUUGGAAAGUUUCGGCGGUUGGGGAUGGACUCGCGGCUUAUCAGCUUGUUGGUGGGGUAGUGGCUUACCAAGGCUUUGACGGGUAGCCGGCCUGAGAGGGUGACCGGCCACAUUGGGACUGAGAUACGGACCAGACGCCUACGGGAGGCAGAAGUGGGGAAUAUUGCACAAUGGGCGGAAGCCUGAUGCAGCAACGCCGCGUGCGGGAUGACGGCCUUCGGGUUGUAAACCGCUUUCGCCUGUGACGAAGCGUGAGUGACGGUAAUGGGUAAAGAAGCACCGGCUAACUACGUG
rnacentral:rRNA from 1 species